rnacentral:rRNA from 1 species
AGAACGAACGCUGGCGGCAUGCCUAACACAUGCAAGUCGAACGCUUCCGGGGCUUCGGUCGCGGAGGAGUGGCGCACGGGUGAGUAGCGCGUGGGAACCUGCCCUGUUGUGGGGGAUAACCGAGGGAAACUUCGGCUAAUACCGCAUACGCCCCGGGACUUGGUCUUCGGAUUAGGUCUGGGGGGAAAGAUUGAUCGCAGCAGGAGGGGCCCGCGUCGGAUUAGCUGGUUGGUGGGGUAACGGCUCACCAAGGCGAUGAUCCGUAGCUGGUCUGAGAGGAUGAUCAGCCACACUGGGACUGAGACACGGCCCAGACUCCUACGGGAGGCAGCAGUGGGGAAUAUUGGACAAUGGGGGCAACCCUGAUCCAGCAAUGCCGCGUGAGUGAUGAAGGCCUUAGGGUUGUAAAGCUCUUUCGCCCGCGACGAUGAUGACGGUAGCGGGAGAGAAGCCCGGCUAACUUCGUGCCAGCAGCCGCGGU